rnacentral:tRNA from 1 species
GGAGUAAAAGUCAGAGAAGAGCUGCUAACUCUAACUCUAAGCGGUUUGAUUCCGUUUGUACUCCU